GACGUAGGGCGCGAGCGUUGUCCGGAUUUAUUGGGCGUAAAGCGCACGUAGGCGGUUUGUUAAGUCGGAUGUGAAAUCCCUCGGCUCAACUGAGGAAGUGCACCCGAAACUGGCAGGCUUGAGUACUAAAGAGGGUCGCGGAAUUCCCGGUGUAGAGGUGAAAUUCGUAGAUAUCGGGAGGAACACCGGUGGCGAAGGCGGCGACCUGGGUAGAUACUGACGCUGAGGUGCGAAAGCGUGGGGAGCAAACAGG
rnacentral:rRNA from 1 species